GCCACUGAGAGAAGAAUAUAAGUUAAACCUCUGUAGUGACCAUGUGGAAGUCCUGACCUUGCUUGCAGACUUGACCUCUGGAUAUGACAAGGUGGCUUCAAUACAGAUCUACCAAUUAAUCCUGGAAACUAAAAACCAAAAACCAAAAAAAUCAAAAAAACAACUUCACAGCAAGAAAGAUACAGAAUAUUUCCUGAGAAGUCAGAAGAACCCAAUGUAUUCUGGUGGGCAAAGGAAAAUAGGGUGAAUGUUUACCGUUACUUGGGGGGAGUGAGCUCAUGGAAAGAAGUGCUGAAUCAGCGAAUAGAGUGAAGGAACAAUCAAGAGGAGAUGGCUGCUGCUGAUGUGACUAUCUAGGUCAUUAUCUUUCUUCCUCCUGCAAAUGCUGCAUGGCACUAAGCUUACAGGAUCUAGAAGCAAACUACAAAAUAAGAAGAAAUUCGCUCUGAAGACUAUGAAGAAACACUAGGCUGAUCUUACAAGUUUCUGAAAUAUAUUCUGUAAAAACUCCACUGAUUUUAUGAAUCUCUGGCAAAAACAACCAGACCAGGACAAAGUUCAACAGAUAACUGGUUAGUGUUUAGAAGUGUCUAUGUCCACCAAGAACAAGGAGCCACAAAUGGCACUAAUGCCAUGCUUCAGGUAAAUCUGUUAUAGUUUAGUCUUUGAUAGUCUCUGCAAAUGAUCUACCACUGUUCUGUAUCAGUAAGCUGUAUGUUUUACUAACAAAUGGGAAAAAUAAAAUAUUUCAUGUUUCUACAGCUAACAACUUAGUAAAACCUACUCAGAGUACAUACUUCUUUAUGUACCCAUAUGAACAUACAAUGCUAUGGAAUGUAAAGAAGUAUGUAUUUUUGGUAGGCAAUAAACUGCCAGGAGGGAACUACACUGCAGCUAAAAUAAGCCUUUGCUUCUUUCUAUGUGAAUGACUAUCAUACGGUAAAUUAACCUAAUAUCUAAGAAAUGACCUUUGGCGAUACACCACAAAAAUGUACCUCCUACUUUUAGAUGGAAACUAAAUGCUGCAAAGAUUUCUACUUUGUGAAGAGAAAAAAGUUUAACUAAGGAGAUUAAAUAUCAAAAUUAUCAUGAAACUCUUUUUAAAUCUUUUAAGUUUAAAAUAUACUAUUGUUUUACAUUUUUAAAUUAAGUACUUACAUGACUACAAUUUGAAUACAGAAAAGAAGCUAGUAUUACCAGAACAAAAGAGGAAGGGAUACACAUGACCUAUUUUCUGUCUCUACAAUUGGAUCUUAAUUGAAAUAUAUCAUAUUAGUAGGAUCAACUGAUUUGUUAAGAUUAAAAUAUAACAAAAACUGAUAUCAUUACAUUUUAACAAUUGUUCUUCAUAGUUUAAUAAAUUUAUAGUCUGCUAACAGAAGAAUUUCUGAAGCAAGUUUUGUUUGUUGUUUUAGGCUUUCUGUUUUGAAAGCUAUCAUAGUUGUAAUUCGAAAAGACUAUCUUUUAAGUAACAUUCUACUCUUCAAAAAUAAAAAGUGGUGUUGUCUUCAAGUUAAAUAGGUCCUUAGCCCAGUCUUUGUUUUAAAUGCUGUUAGUACUUAAAGAUUUAUGCAUGAAAAAUGACAAAAUUCUGGGCCUCAGUUGUAGGUUAACAGGGCACAUUGCUAACAGAUUGCCAAAUAUUUAAAAGAAAUUAGUUUAUUAUAUUAUCCUUGAAUUUGCUUUCUCCAAAGCAGUACAUAAAAUGAAAAUGCUAUAGUUAAGAAAUCAAUUUACACAGAAUAAUCAUCUUUCACUGGUACUGGGCAACAGCAAUUCAAUUUUGACAAACAUGAUAGGCCCACCCACUAUUUGUAGUGUGUUGGAGAUACCAAAAUACUUUUUUUAUAUCUUACACAAAAUUUAUUUUGUAUAAUAUAUACUUAAUAAAACUCAUAAAUAAUAAAGCUACUGGCAAUACUUUACAAGCAGUACCUGUUUCAAGCUACUAUGACAGAUUCAGAAAAAAAGAAAUACUAAUAUUCAUAUACUCUAAUCAUUCCUUAUUACAAGUAUUAUUUCAACUGUAAUAUUCAGACAUGUAUAAAGAGCAUAAUGAUAUUUGAAAAUUUUUAUGUGUCCCAAGUUGAAGAGAAUGUCCAUAAGGUUAACAACUAUGGUUAUCACUGAAAAUAUGUAUCUCAAAAUUACAGGUUCCCCUACAAAACAACUCAAAAGGCAUUACUAUACUCAUGUUUUAUAACAUUAUAAAAUUAUAGAACAUUGUAAAAUUGUAGAACAAUUAUAUUCAUUAUUUUAUAGGCACAAUAAAAAUGUUUAAUAAUUACUUUAAAACAUCCUGGUGACAAAGAAUCUCACUGCUAUAAUGUUAAGAGUACAUAAUCCUCAGAAAAUGAAAUGACAACAUCUGUUAUUCAUUUUAAGAGGCAAAAUUAUAUACUGAUUCUAGUGCCUACAAGUUAAAUGAACAUAUCUAAGUAUUUUCAAUCAUUCUAAAAUGUCACAUCCAUCACUUAGAUCAGCUGUUCAUUUUUAACUGAGUACAUAGUAAACUCUGGGCAUCUGCUGACACUGGUGUAACUCAAACAUUUCAACUGUCUCUCUGACAGGGAUAACAGAUGCUGACAUUAUCAAAUGCUGUACUAUUUUUUUUCCAUGGCCUCUCCUUGCCCCGAUAUGGCCAGUAUAUGAAACUGAACUGUCAUCCAAAAGCACACUUGAGCAACUGGAUCUGCUAAACAGCUCCCAUAUAACUAGUAAAAAUAGAAGCCAGUUUUAUUGCUAUCUUCAGCACUUAAGUCCAGGCAAUUUAACACCUGUUUCAUUUCUAUUAGAAUAAAUGGAAAGAAUUGUAGUUACAUUAAUUUCACCAGCAGCAUACUUACCAACCAACAGAUGCAGAAUAUACUUAAUAUGAGAACUGUCUGAAUAUUGCCUAAAUUACUGUUGAGCUUCUCCUCAUUUACUUCAAAACAAUAACUUGUUUCUUUAUUUUUCAAAGUUCUUACUUUAUAGGCAAACUGUAAUAUCUCAAACUUUUAUUUUUGCAAAAUAUCUUUAUAUUUCAAAAGAUAUCCCUUCCCUGAUACUGAAACACAACACUAAAACCACAUUAUAACAAAAAUUUGCUGUACUUACUUUUAAAAUAUUACUCAUGUAGAUUUUAAUACUCAAAUUCACUGAUUAUAGCUAUGCACCACAAGUCCAUGCAUUAUUAAGCUGAUAAUAGAAGGGACUGGGCAAUCUGUACCCAAAAUGAUGGAGAAUUCAGUCAGGGAAAUAGACCUUAAAAAAAGGUUAAUAUACUAACCUAUGAUUAGUAACACUACAUUAGCAAAAACAAAGAAAAAAGCUGGUAUGUGUGGUAGUUCCUUUCAACAGAAGUCCAAGCAAUACACCAAAUAUACAUGUGAUCUAUUUAUAAACCAAAGGGCAAAGGUACUUUCUUAAGGCCACUCAUAUUCCUCCACCCCCUCCCUGUCAGCAGUUUGCUAUCAGUCCUCAAAUAUAAUACUAAAUAAAGGAGCAGUGGGAAGAAAGGUAGCACUACCAGUAAGUACUCUUCCCUAACCUAUUAGCAUACUUGCUUGGUUCACCACCUAACGAUAAAUACAAAAUAGUACAUAGAAAUACAUUAAGGUCUGUUUGUUCCUUUAAAUGCUGGUUUUAAAACAGAUUAUUAUCUACAUUUAAAAAUUAUGCAAAGGUAUACAUUGAUAAUUCCUUAAUGCGACAACAAAAUGUUAAUGUGCACAGACUUCUACUCUGUUCAAGUGGGAAAUAGUAGGAAAAGUGUCUCAAAAUAGAAAAGUUUAUAUGUAAUGACUAAAGAGUACUGUCUCUAAUAUUUGUAGAAAAUCCAUAACCAUAACUGUACAAAUAAAGAGCAUUUCAAUUCUUUUGUAUCCCAAACUAGCAGCACUGCAAUGCUUUGCUAGAGCUGGUAAAAUGGAACCAAAUCGCCUCUUCAAUGGAUUUGGUCCCCUUCAACCAGCUGUAGCUAUGCAUUGAUUACUACAGGACAGCCAACGUUUCCAUUUAUGAAUUUCAUCACAUGUUGACUAAUUUCAGUUUAUUUAAAUUAUUCAGGCUGUGGUUUAAAUCAAAUAAUUUGUUACUGUUAAGUCUCCUUGGGAGAACCAUAGUGGUUAACAAUGUUUAUAAAAGGUUUUAUGAAAAAUGUGUAGAUGACUUAAGGAUUGCAAAUAAAAUAUUUUUACUUA